CUUACAGCAAGCCAACGCUCGGCAAGUCGGCGCUCGGCACUUAUUUUAAUCUCGCUCAGUGAGCCGUUGCAGGUCCCGCUCGGGUUAUUGAGAGAGGGCAUCGCUCCGCCUCCUCGAUCACACGCAGGAGCGUGUGAAUGUGCAGUGUCCUGUGAUGCGCUGAUGUCAUUCCUGUUUCGGCAGAAGACGCGGCUCGGGGCCCCGCUGCCGGCGCUCGGCACUCCGCGCACACGGCUGCUGGAGAUGGACCAGGAGAAUUCAGAAUUUAGCAGGAAACGUCACAAGCAGAGGCAGGGGGAGGGGCAAGAGUGGAGGGGGUAGGGUGGCGGAGGGAGAGAACGAGAGAGAGCGAGCGAGAGAAGGAGAGAGGUGGGGGGUUAUAUUGACUCAGCUCAGCUUUUGGUCAUUCACCAGUGUGUGAUCGACACAGAGGACAUGCAAGGGGACAUGAUGGAGCUCAGAAACGGACGAGGACUGUGACUGGGUCACACACAUCUUCACUGUAAUGCGGAACACUGGAAAAACAGGACUGUAGGUGCAGUUCACACCUGCGUUGCGCUGAAAACAUCUGCGAUGUGAGAGAAAGUUAUCAUUUGACAUCUCGAGUGUCUCGAUGGACACGACAGUAUAGCAGCCCUGCGCUCAGAGGGGCAGCGAGCGCAGCAAAAACGGAGUAGCUGACGAGACGCCGCCGCACUUGGACACGGGAACACUUGAGAGGGAGAGGCGAAGAAAGAGCGCGAGGGUGCGAGGGAGAGCGGGACGCACGCAGGGGGACGGUGGUAGAUGACCGUAUCCGUGUCCUGCCACCCUGACCCUUGUGCCCCUGUUCUCGGCCUCCUGUCCCCGUGUCUCAGCAUGAGCGUGUCGAAGCCCCCCCGGCCUCACUCCCACUUCCUCCCGCACCCGCAGCCCCCCAACCCCUCGGCCCACCUGUCCCUGCCGUCGGGGGGCAGCUCUCUGCCAGCUUCGCCCUCCCCUUCGCCCACCCCCUCGCCCUCGCCCGUCAAGAUCUCCAUGCAGGAGCACUUUGCCAUCAACGUGUGCCCGGGCCCCAUCCUGCCCAUCCCGCAGAUUUCCGACUUCUUCCCGCGCUUCCACGACUUCCCGUGCCCACCGGCGACAGCGCAGCAGCGCGACAAGCAGGCGCAGCGGGACGCUGGGAAGGACCGUCAGCGGGAUGCCGAGGACGAGCCGGAGCUCGUGGACUCCGACGAUGAUGAGACCUAUCUGGGCACCCUGGAGUUCAGCCUCCUCUUCGACCAGGAGAACAACUGCCUCCACUGCACUGUGCACCGCGCCAAGGGCCUGAAGGCCAUGGACUCGAACGGACUGGCCGACCCCUAUGUGAAGCUACACCUCCUGCCUGGAGCGAGCAAGGCAAACAAACUGCGCACCAAGACCUUGAAAAACACACUGAACCCCGUGUGGAACGAGACUCUGGUUUACCACGGUAUCACCGCAGCCGACAUGACCACGAAAACGCUCAGGCUCUGCGUCUGCGACAUGGACCGCCUCGGUCGCAACGAGUUCAUCGGGGAGGUGAGAGUGGCUCUAAAGAAGCUACACGAGGGGGAGACCAAGAGGUACAACAUGGGCCUGGAGAGACAGGCGCAGAACAGAGAGGCCCACAAUGCCGUGGUGGAACCCGGAACCCUGGUGGCCGAAGAGGAGAGAGGUCGCAUCCUCGUGUCGCUGCUCUACAACCAGGAGAAGAGCUCACUGUUUGUGGGCAUCAUCCGCUGCGCCCACCUGGCAGCCAUGGACUCCAACGGGUACUCGGACCCCUUCGUCAAGAUUGUCCUGCAGCCCGAUGUGGGGAAGAAGUCCAAGUACAAGACCUCAGUGAAAAAGAAAACUCUGAACCCGGAGUUCAAUGAGUGCCCUCCGGUUCCUGCAGGAGUUUGUGUAUGAAGUUCCUCAUGACCAGCUGGCUAAGAAGACCCUGGAGAUCUCGGUGUGGGACUAUGACCUGGGGAUGAGCAACGAUUUCAUAGGGGGGGUGGAGCUCGGGAUCAACGCUAAGGGACAGCGGCUCAAGCACUGGUUCGAGUGCCUGAAAUACACGGGGAAAAGGGUGGAGUGCUGGCACACGCUGACGCAGCAGGGGCAGCCCAGCAGUGACUGAAACAAACACACACACACACACACACACACACACACACAGUAUCCUAACGCAGGGACCUAUGCAUGCACAUUGACAAAGGCACAUCUGUUGAUACAGCAAAUAAGUAAUGUAAUAAUACCAAAAUUAAUAAUGAUACUAAUACUACUGCUAAUAAUAAUAAUAAUAAUAAUGAAUUCAUUAAUUAUCAUAUCUUUUGUAAACUAUUCACUGAACAGUUACUGCAAUAAUAGGACCAAUAACAGGAAAAAGAAUCAAGUAAUAAUAAUUGUUGAUAUUGACUUUUCCGUGUUUAUGGAUUUACUGAAGAUGAGACCUGUAACGUCACCACGGUAACGGUGGAGUUACCCCACACACGUGUCAUUUCCUCCUCUGCGUGACCAGAGUUGGUGUGUAACCGUGCUGUGUGUACCCUGGACGCCUGUUUCUCUCUCAUCACUCCAUCGCCGUGGAGUCACUCCUGCGUCCUCUCUUCUCGUGAGAAAAGCACAAGGCAGCCCCACUCCUGCUGCGGGAGGCCGUGCGUCGUGUUCCGUGUGUGUGUGUGUGUGUGUGUGUGUGUGUGU